rnacentral:rRNA from 1 species
UGGGGAAUCUUCCGCAAUGGACGAAAGUCUGACGGAGCAACGCCGCGUGUAUGAUGAAGGUCUUCGGAUUGUAAAGUACUGUCAUUGGGGAAGAACGGUUUUCUUGAGAAUAUUGAGAAGACAUGACGGUACCCAAGGAGGAAGCCCCGGCUAACUACGUGCCAGCAGCCGCGGUAAUACGUAGGGGGCAAGCGUUGUCCGGAAUUAUUGGGCGUAAAGGGCGCGUAGGCGGGCCUUUAAGUCCGGUGUGAAAGAUCAGGGCUCAACCCUGAGAGUGCAUCGGAAACUGGAGGCCUUGAGGACAGGAGAGGAAAGUGGAAUUCCACNUGUAGCGGUGAAAUGCGUAGAUAUGUGGAGGAACACCAGUGGCG